UAUUCCUACGGGAGGCAGCAGUGAGGAAUAUUGGUCAAUGGGCGGUAGCCUGAACCAGCCAAGUAGCGUGAAGGAUGAAGGUUCUAUGGAUUGUAAACUUCUUUUAUAAAGGAAUAAAGUGAGGCACGUGUGCCUUUUUGUAUGUACUUUAUGAAUAAGGAUCGGCUAACUCCGUGCCAGCAGCCGCGGUAAUACGUAGGAUCCGAGCGUUAUCCGGAUUUAUUGGGCUUAAAGGGAGCGUAGAUGGGUUGUUACGUCAGUUGUGAAAGUUUGCGGCUCAACCGUAAAAUUGCAAAUGAUCCUGG
rnacentral:rRNA from 1 species